UAAUUUUUUUUUAGAGUUCUAAUCGAAAAAAAAGAUUGCGACCUCGAUGUUGGAUUAAAAUGAAAUUCUGGUGUAGCAGCUAGGAGUUUGGGUCUGUUCGACCUUUGAAAUUUUACAUGAUCUGAGUUUAAACCGGUGUGAGCCAGGUUGGUUUCUAUCUCGAUAAAUAUAAAAUAUUUUAGUACGAAAGGACCAAAUAUUUAAUUUGUAAUUUAAAAUAGGAAUACUAUUAAUAUAAAAU
rnacentral:rRNA from 1 species